UACGAAGGGGGCUAGCGUUGCUCGGAAUCACUGGGCGUAAAGCGCACGUAGGCGGCUUCUUAAGUCAGGGGUGAAAUCCUGGAGCUCAACUUCAGAACUGCCUUUGAUACUGAGGAUCUUGAGUUCGGGAGAGGUGAGUGGAACUGCGAGUGUAGAGGUGAAAUUCGUAGAUAUUCGCAAGAACACCAGUGGCGAAGGCGGCUCACUGGCCCGAUACUGACGCUGAGGCACGAAAGCGUGGGGAGCAAACAGG
rnacentral:rRNA from 1 species